AGCUUUAGGAUUUUUCUUUGGGGCAGGGUUUUAUUCAGUCUUCCCUUGCGGCUGCGAACCUGUUACAUACUUGCUGGUCUGUGUAAGUUAAUACAGGCAUAUCGAGUCAUCAAAAUUUCCUCGCCAUAGUAUAUCAAGGACCCCAGUGUUCACGGUUCAACCCUGACCAGCGGUGUUGCCACGUCUGUGUAUGGAUUCUCCGGCGCUUGGAGAUGACGUCUACAGCCUUCACCUGACACGUUUCGUCGAUAUACGACUUCCUGAGAGGCUCAAAUUCUAAAUGCCUAGAUGACAUCGGCAACCAGCACCUCACACCAAUGCACGCCCAGUCCUUCUGAGUGGCUGCUGCUCAGUGAAAGUGAAAAAAAGAGAUGGCCGACGGCUGCCCUGGAUUACUGUAGCUGUAACAGGACAGGAAAUCAGGAGAAAGGGAGAAGCGUGAUAAGAAAUGCUAAGAUAACAAAUAAAGUGGA